GGUCCCAUCGACUAGGGGUUAGGUCGCCACUCUUUCACAGUGAAAACACGGGUUUCGAAUCCCGUUGGGACCG
rnacentral:tRNA from 1 species